UGAAAUGAACGUUGCAGUAAUCAUAACCGUGAAAUGAUUUUAAACAUUACUAUUUUAAGAAUAAGUUGAAAAAAAUGUAUACAUUAUUGAUAUAACUUCAUUGUGCUUGAUAUAACCAUGCGCAUAGUUAAAUCAAUAACUAUCCAUGGUGAAGAAAAUAUCCACAACGCAACAUUAAAACCGCCAUAUUGAGAAGCGACACAUUUGUUGACAGGAAUUGAGUCAGUUUGUUUCCAUGAAGUUGAUAUAAAUAAUAAACAGAAGAAUCUGGAUCUAUACCUUUAUUACAGACUGAAAAUGUUAUAAUCGUACAUAUUGCUUGGCGAUGCAGAGUGCCCCGUUCGAUAAAACUCCCGAAUUCGUGAUGUUCCACAGGCAAAUCGACCGGGAUAUACGCCCCGCUUGAAUUGUUACCAGGCGAAGUGGAAGUGCAGCAGGAUUUUUCAAUGCAAAAACGGAACCGACCGAAGGGAGCGGCCGGCUACGAUUUGGUGGAGGAGUUCGAUGAGAUUGCUAUUCGGGAGGAUUAGAAGCGUCGACUGCUGGACAAUAGCGAACGGUUGGAGUGGACGGGUAACUACCUGAGAGAUAGCUACCGGCUGGUGCUGGAGGCGUAACAGAUCGGAAGCCAGGUACUGCAGGAUUUGAGCGUACAGCGGGAGACGAUUUAGCGAGCGAGAGGACGGUUGCGUGAAACCGAUGCUGAGUUGGGUUGUUCCUCGAGAUUGCUGAAUUCUAUGAUGGCGCGGGCGUUGAGAGAGAAGACUGUUCUUGUAGCUGUGGCUGUCGAGCAUUACUGGCAUCAAGAACCAGGUUUCUUUAGAUCCUGUGUUGAUUUCUAACGCGAUUCUGGCUCAGAUGAAGUUCUCGCUGGAUGUUUGUCACUCCCGUCAAAAUGUUGCGGAUGGAGAAUGCAUGAUUUUAUCGGGUUUAUCCUGUUAUUUUUAACCGGAGCAUUUCGCAUAAUUUUCAUUUCGAUUUCUAUAUAAUCAAUUAUGUAUGUACAAGUGGAACCGAUAGUGUCAUAUAAUUUAAUCAAACAUGUGUGUAAUAAUCUAAAUGUUUAGAAAAAUAAACAAGAAAAAAA